GAUGGAUUUUCAGGCUCAAGUUUUCACUUUCUUGUUCCUCAGCAUCACAGUGUCCAGUGAAGAAGUUGUGCUCACCCAGUCUCCAGCAUCCUUGGCUGCUUCUCAAGGUGAGAGGGUCACCAUCUCCUGCACAGCCAGCUCAAGUGUAAGCACUACUUACUUACACUGGUACCAACAGAAGCCAGGAGCUUCUCCCAAACUCCUGAUUUAUGGAACAUCAUACUUGGCUUCUGGAGUCCCAACUCGCUUCAGUGUCAGUGGUUCUUGGACAUCCUUCUCUCUCACCAUCAGUGGCAUGGAGCCUGAAGAUGCUGCUACUUAUUACUGUCAACAGUGGCAUCGUGAUCCAACCACAGUGACACAGACUGGAACAAAAAUCCCCUCAGCUCUGCAGGCCCAGCUGUUUCUUCCUCAGAGAAUGCAACAUGGUCAGGGGUCUGAUUGA